rnacentral:lncRNA from 1 species
UACAUUUUUUAAAUUAUAUAUUUUCUAAGAAAUCUCAACUCAUAUGUGUUUGUUUCCAUACCUAAUGUGAAUCCUUCAAUUCUCUAAAAAAAAAAAAAUAAACAAAAAUAAAAAAGAAGUUUUAGUGGAGAAAAACAUAAGGAUUAGCACAAGCAACAGAAGGAGAAAACUAGAAAAGGUAUUUACAAUUAAGAAAAUAUAUUGAAUCACACACUCUGAGAUUGUGGCUUCAUUUAAGUUAAAAACUCUAGGUGGGGUUGCAAAUAUUCCUACAGGUCCUCUUUCAUUUCUUAUUUUUCUCUGCAAGGAAGAGAAACUCCAGACUCCAAAAUUAUCAGAGAUCUGGGAUGGAGAAAAUAAAAGCAGAGUUCUGUGACCAAUUCUGCCUCUGACUGACUGUGAUUUUAAUGGUGUUUUAGCUUCUCCAUCUCCACUGUGAGGCUGUAAUUGCCUAGAGAUCUGGGUGGGUCCUCCACGGAAAGGUUUUAAGACAGCUACAAUUAGCUGUAAGUUAUCUUGACUUUUAAGAGAAAGAUUUCAGACUCUGUGGCUUAAGGGUUGUCUUUUUCCACCUUGCUUUGCCUCCAUGUUUCCUCAUAUGGCAGGAGGAAUAACAAAUACAGAAAGGACAGCUCUAGUUCCUUAAUCUUUUCUGCUUGUGACCAGAAUACUCUGUGCUGUUAACAUUUCACUUCUCAAUUUAUAAAAGGUCAUAAUAUUGUGUUGGUUCUGUGUGGUCUUAUUUUAGUAUUUUGUCUUAUUUUAUUGGGAAAAAAUGCAAAGAAUUAGCAUAGCAGAUUAUGGGGAAUUUUAUCUUUAUUAAUUGUUGAACUUGCCCUCUUCUCCUAGUUUCUUUAUCAUUGUGGACUGACGUUUUUGCAAAGUUCAUUUUCAGUUUCUAUUUUAUUUUUCCAGUGUUGGGGAAAGGUCUCAAGUAAGACAGAGAAGGCAGAAAUUCACCAGCAAAUCCAAACUGGGGAAAUCCCAGAGUUGAAGACAAGAAACUUAAGAAAACCUUACAAAAAGAAACAUGCUUGGGGCUACUCUUGUUUGCUGGUAGAAUGAUCUGUAGAAAAUUCUGAGAUAAGGUGUUAAAAGUAAGAAAAUGCAGGCAUAAUUAUGAUCAGACUGUCAACUUUCCCCUUGUCUAAUGGGAGCCAAAGAAUGAUGUUUUAAUGCUCAGCUUCUAGAUGAAAUAUGUAUUAGCAAACUAUUCUAGGCCUUUAUAUUCCUUUAUUUUUGUUUUCAAAAAUUCCCAUGACAAUAUUCUGGCAUCCAUGCCACAUGAGGAUACAUUUCGUGCCAAAACAAGCUUAGGAAAUCUGCAGUUUAAAGGAGGAAGGUAUGCUGCAGCUGAGAGCAGACGCUUCUAAGGCAUCUUGGGAAGGUUGCAUCUGCAGUCUCAAGAAAUAUUAAAACCUAUUUUAAUGUAGGCAUUGUUCCUGAGAGUAGCUUCAAUAAGCCACGUGGAUGCAAUUAUCCAGCUCAGGGGUUGUUUCUUAUGGAAUCCAACCUAUGACUGUUGACGCCAGGAGUGGUCCUGGGAAGGAGACUCUGAAAAUUUUGGAGCUGGCUGGGAAUAAGAGUCCUGUUGCUGUUGAUAUCUGAGAGCAACCUUCUGCCAGGAUUUGCCCUGCCCACAGGCGUUAGCAUGGACUUGAUGACUGCGGUGUGGCUUUUACUUUCUCAAUUUUCCAGAGCUCAUACUCCUCAAACUCCAGAGGAAUAAGAUGGCCAGCAGUCAGGAAGGAGAUUUGAAUGUGGAGCACAGCAGAGUGAGCACGAGCUGAAACCCUCCAAGCAUAUUUUCAUCACUGUAUUGCCUGUGAACAUCUUCAGAGUGUGAUGACUCCUACUUCCUCUGAAUCUCAUUUCUUUUUCUCUGGAAAUGUCUACUGAAUACAGAAAUGAACACACUGAAAUAUUUUCAUGCAUUGCCUCAGAGGAAGGGUGACCGAAGGAGAGCUCGAGAAACGGAAAGAGAAUGAGAACAGAGAGAGAUAAAGAAAAGCAUACAAAAUAUUUAUUGCUGCAUUUCCGUGCCUUCUCCACAAUAUUGAGGCCUGAAUUAGGUAGGUAGUUGAAAUCUCUCUAAAAGUGAGUCAGAUAUUGUGUCCGGAAUUGGUGGGUUCUUGAUCGCACUGACUUCAAGAAUGAAGCCGUGGACCCUCGCGGUGAGUGUUACAGCUCUUAAGGUGGCGCGUCUGGAGUCUGCCCCUUCUGAUGUUCAGAUGUGUUCGGAGUUUCUUUCUUCUGGUGGGUUCGUGGUCUCUCUGGCUCAGGAGUGAAGCUGCAGAUCUUCGCGGGGUACUCAGGACUUUGAAUGCAUAGGCUCAGUUCUGCUGUGCACUUUCUACACAAAUCCUGACCAAGCCUGAGAUAGGGGAAGACUCUGUUGUUCAAACCUGUAGCCACUGGAUCACAUCAUGUUCAGACAGAGCUCACUGAAAUCAUAGCACAGGCCCUUCCUUGAGAAAGGGCUACUGAUCUACCUCUCCGAGCAACUGCUUGUAAAGACAAACUGAAUUGAAUGGGCAAGUGAUUUUCAAACCAGUUACGGAUAUUACAUAACAGCUUCUCAUGCACAUGGGAGACAGAGUCUCACUCUGUCACCAGGCUGGAGUAUAGUGGCAUGAUCUCGGCUCACA